AAGCAGCAGUUAGAGUUGAAUGCUUAUGAACUGAAUUGAGCAAAGAAUAAUAACUUGUAAUCAAGCAACUAAACUACGUGGGGAGGCUAAAAGAAGACCAAAACCUCUCCAGCUCUCCAGCUGUGUGAUCCUUUCCUAAAAAGGCACUGAACGAACAGUUCUCAUGAAUGAAGGGAGUACAGAAACCCAUCGGAACAUGAUGACUAAGACGCAGGGCAGCCCCGGGACAGCCCCUGACUGAAACAUCCCUGAGUUCUCUGAGCAUCAAACACGCCUGUGAGAUCCUUGAUUACACUGCGGGUAAGCAGACAGGAGGACAGAUGAUGUGUAAGGUUGGAGAACGCCAGGAAAAUGAAUGGACUUCAAGACAAGGAAAGGCUUUCAGGGAAUACUUUCCAAGCCCGCAGGAAUGUAAGGACGCUCCCACAUUGCUGGCCUUCUCUCUCAAGCAGAUGCACUCUUCUCCUUUGAGGCUGCAGAUGCCCGGAACACACUUCCACUGCAGCAGCAUCAAGAUGACAGGCACACUAUCCUCCCGACCAGGCCCCGAGCAACAUGAUCAUUUCUCAUUCCUAAUUCCCAGGAAACCAUGGCGCAGAGGGGGACUCAGUGAGUAUUUGUUGACCUGAGUCAGAUCAAUGAAAGGCAAGACUUCAGACUUUGC
rnacentral:lncRNA from 10 species